rnacentral:rRNA from 1 species
GGGUGGUAAUGCCGGAUGUUCCAGUUGAUCGCAUGGUCUUCUGGGAAAGCUUUCGCGGUAUGGGAUGGGGUCGCGUCCUAUCAGCUUGACGGCGGGGUAACGGCCCACCGUGGCUUCGACGGGUAGCCGGCCUGAGAGGGCGACCGGCCACAUUGGGACUGAGAUACGGCCCAGACUCCUACGGGAGGCAGCAGUGGGGAAUAUUGCACAAUGGGCGCAAGCCUGAUGCAGCGACGCCGCGUGAGGGAUGGAGGCCUUCGGGUUGUAAACCUCUUUUAUCGGGGAGCAAGCGUGAGUGAGUUUACCCGUUGAAUAAGCACCGGCUAACUACGUGCCAGCAGCCGCGGUAAUACGUAGGGUGCAAGCGUUAUCCGGAAUUAUUGGGCGUAAAGGGCUCGUAGGCGGUUCGUCGCGUCCGGUGUGAAAGUCCAUCGCUUAACGGUGGAUCCGCGCCGGGUACGGGCGGGCUUGAGUGCGGUAGGGGAGACUGGAAUUCCCGGUGUAACGGUGGAAUGUGUAGAUAU